CACGGGUGAGUAACACGUAUCCAACCUGCCGUCUACUCUUGGACAGCCUUCUGAAAGGAAGAUUAAUACAAGAUGGCAUCAUGAGUCCGCAUGUUCACAUGAUUAAAGGUAUUCCGGUAGACGAUGGGGAUGCGUUCCAUUAGAUAGUAGGCGGGGUAACGGCCCACCUAGCCUUCGAUGGAUAGGGGUUCUGAGAGGAAGGUCCCCCACAUUGGAACUGAGACACGGUCCAA
rnacentral:rRNA from 1 species